AAAAAAAAACGAAACAAUUUUCCAUUUAGUUUUUUUUUUUUUUUUUUUUAAUUUUCCUUGAGCUUUCUCGGCAAACAAACAUGAUUUAGAAACGAACCUGGUUUGGUUUAAGAGGAGUUUUGUUGCGGCGGAGGAUCUCGACGAGUGGGACCACGAAAAACGAAACAAUUUUCCAUUUUGUUUUUUGUUUUUUUUUUUUUUAAAUUUUCCUUGAGCUUUCUCGGCAAACAAACAAGAUUUAGAAACGAACCUGGUUUGGUUUAGGAGGAGUUUUAUUGUGGCAGAGGAUCUUGACGAGUGGGACCACGAAGGCUAGGGUUUUACCAGAGCCGAUGGCGACAUCGACGACGACGUCUUUGUAGCUACAGAGUAAAGGGAUUGUGGCAGCUUGGACCAGAUGCAGAACUCGAAGCCGACUUGGGUUAGGGCUUCGAGAACCGGUUCGGAGAGUGAGGUUGAGAUCGGAGAAGCGUGUUUUGGUUAGCGUGCUACUCUGGUUGGGGGAGACAGAAUCCAUGGAUUCCGAGAGCUAAUGUCGUUUCUGUGAAAUUCUUUUUUUUUUUUUUUUUCCCCUCUACUUGUGCCUGUGUUUGGUUGCUCAGAAAAUGUGGAAAAGAAAUAAGAAUUUGGAUUUCGAUUGGAGUUUGAAAAAACCUACUAAAUUAGGCACUGUUUAGUUUUUGUUAAUACUGUUAUGAACACUUUGUUUUCAAACAUUCAGAGAACAGUUGGAUUUUGACUGAUAAUGAUUUGAUUUUAGGAGAUUAGGAAGCUAAUUUGUAUCAAGCUUUUUUUUUUUUUUUUUUUUUUUUUGGGUAUGAUAUGUAACAAUAGAAUUUUUAGAUACGCGUUUGUAUGUAUGAACUGUACUAAUUGUUGAAAAUCGUGGUUUCGUGUUUAUAUUCUAAGAUUUGGAUGAAUUAUAAUCAGGUUCAAGAUUCUUAGAUUUGGAUGAAUUAUUUCGUCUCUCUCUCUCUCUCUCUCUCUCUCUCUCUGAAUUCUGUGUUUGUUUCCUGGGAAAAAAGGUAAAAGAGAUUUGAAUUGACUUCAUGUUUAUUAUUGAUUAGUUAAUUAGCUUUUUAAGGAUUACUUUUCUAAUUAAUUUGUGGUGAUUUUUGCUCUUGUUGGUUAGCGUAGGAGAUUUCCCUUGCUGGAGGCAGUUCCAAAGCUGUCUGAAGGAACAAUGCAGAUGCAGUCGUGCUUGUGAUGUUGACGAUGAGGAAAAGGGUAUCAAAUUUGCAAAGAAAGAUUGGGAAAGUUUUUUUCUUGUCAGUUAUUAUUUUCUUGCAGUAUGUUAGUAGGUCAGGUUCCAUUAAUUUGAGCAAUCAGCUUGCUUAUUCCUGCAAUAUGAAUAAUGAUUGAGUUGGUUUUCACUUUUUAAAAAAUUAGUAACAUCAGAUGGUUUUGGUGUUGAGCUACUUUAUUGUUAUAUUGAUAAAAAAAAAAAAAAAAAAAAGAAUCAGAAGGACAAUAUGGGUUUAUUCCUUAAGUCUAGCCUCAUUAAAAAUUAUUAUAAUUAUUAUUAUUACUUAUUUCUUUUUAAAAUGAAAGAGUACAGUCUACUUGAAUGGAGUCAGAAUGUGGUUAUGACUUAUGACAUCACCAUUACGUCACUGAUUUUUGCACCAUAGUUCCCUCGAAAGAAAUAUGUCAAGUGGAAGUUCAAAACUAGUACCACAUUGAUGCAGUUUCUUGAAUUUUUAAUAAAUUAGUAUUUUUUUUAAAGAUGAUUUGUGAAAAUAUCUGUAGCUUUUAGAAACCUUAAUAUCAACGGCAUCAAACUUACUAGUUACUAUAUUAAACUUUAUAGAUCACUCUGAAGGAUGAGAAGUUGCUAAUUAAGAAAAUAAAAGGAGGAGAUGCUUCUCCCCUCAAAGAAGUAAAGGGAGGGUGGAGAGGAGAUGUUGCUUCAUCUUUCAUUUGCCUUCUUUCACAUAGUUAUUCGGGCAGUACUAUAACUGUUUAUGUGGAUUUACUCAAGAUAACCUGUCACAUGAGCUUCGGCAGGUGUAACCCCACCACUAUACUAUUAAUGUUUUGGAGGGAGAGGAAAAAGCUUGAAGGAUAUUUGAUCACUGGGGAACUAAAGCUGUUCAGCAGAACUCUGAGUUGCCUUGGAGAUAAGAGGACUUCAAACUUCAAACUUCAAACCAAUGUUGUGGAUGAUAAUGUUAUGGUUGAAAUUGCUGAAGUCUGAAAUGUACUCGAGUUCUUGUACAACUUAAAUGUAUGAAUGGUAAUGUAAUAGGAUUUAGUUGUCUAGUUGGUAAUGUUCCUUUUCUGAUUGUCUAGUUGUAUCCUUUCACCCCUAUUUAUUUAUUUAUUUUUUUUUUUUUUUUUUUUGUUUCUAGAAUACCAUGUUAGCCAUGCAAAUUUUUUGUGAA